UACGGGGGGGGCAAGCGUUGUUCGGAAUUACUGGGCGUAAAGGGCUCGUAGGCGGCCAACUAAGUCCGACGUGAAAUCCCCAGGCUUAACCUGGGAACUGCGUCGGAUACUGGAUGGCUUGAAUCCGGGAGAGGGAUGCGGAAUUCCAGGUGUAGCGGUGAAAUGCGUUGAUAUCAUCAGGAACACCGGAGGCGAAGGCGGCUCACUGGGUCCUUUCUGACGCUGAGGAACGAAAGCUAGGGGAGCAAACGGG
rnacentral:rRNA from 1 species